GCCGGCCUGCAAGGUUGGUGAUGGUGGUAACCGAUUUUUGAACCAACACCUGAAUGAACGGGGACUUGACUCGAUUACAUGAUCCGGUGUGCGAUGCUCCGCCAUGCGGAGAUGCCUAAAGGGUCUCGGCGGGUUCCCACCGUCUACGACGGGUUCAUUCUCGGCCCGCCACACCGCUCAGUGGGUCGGCU
rnacentral:other from 1 species